GCCCUUCCUACGGGAGGCAGCAGGGAGGAAUAUUGGUCAAUGGGCGGAAGCCUGAACCAGCCAUGCCGCGUGCAGGAAGACGGCCCUACGGGUUGUAAACUGCUUUUCUGCGGGAAGAACGGCCCCUACGUGUAGGGGUGUGACGGUACCGCAGGAAUAAGGAUCGGCUAACUCCGUGCCAGCAGCCGCGGUAAUACGGAGGAUCCGAGCGUUAUCCGGAUUUACUGGGUUUAAAGGGUGCGUAGGCGGCUCCCUCAGUCAGCGGUGAAAUGUAUCGGCUCAACCGAUAACCUGCCGUUGAUACUGGGGAGCUUGAGUUGGGUUGAGGCAGGCGGAAUGUGCGGUGUAGCGGUGAAAUGCUUAGAUAUCGCACAGAACGCCGAUUGCGUAGGCAGCUUGCCAAGCCCACACUGACGCUGAGGCACGAAAGCGUGGGGAUCAAACAGGAUUAGAUACCCUGGUAGUCCACGCCGUAAACGAUGAUAGCUCGCUGUUGGCAAUACACCGCCAGCGGCCAAGCGAAAGCGAUAAGCUAUCCGCCUGGGGAGUACGGCCGCAAGGCUGAAACUCAAAGGAAUUGACGGAAGGGC
rnacentral:rRNA from 1 species